AGAUGAGGGACCUUGGAUUUGUCCAUCCAUGGUGAGCUGCACCUGGACAGCAGGCUCAGCAGACACAAAGGUCACCUGAGUAAGAACAUGGCAAUGAUUCUCCUGAGUGAGAAAAGGAAAAAGAAAACAAGAAGGCUGACUCCUCUGGCAGUCCAUCCCAUUAUUUCAUCUGUCCUCACCUUUUGUGUCUUUCACUGCUGCUUGUGAAUCAGGACACUUAAGGCUCACAGAGAAAUUUUUAUGGUAUUGUACUAAAUAAUCCUCCCCCUCCUUCCUCUGAGCGAUCUUUUUGAAUGAGAAAGAAGCAAACGUGGAGAGAAAAAGCACCUGACAGGAAGCAAGAACCCAACCAGCUCCACCCACAG